rnacentral:rRNA from 1 species
AUACGUAGGGGGCGAGCGUUGUCCGGAAUGAUUGGGCGUAAAGGGCGCGUAGGCGGCUUUGCAAGUCAGUAGUGGAAGUCCAUUUUUCAAGGAUGGAAGUGCUACAGAAACUGCGGAGCUUGAGUGCAGGAGAGGUUAUCGGAAUUCCCGGUGUAGCGGUGAAAUGCGUAGAGAUCGGGAGGAACACCAGUGGCGAAGGCGGGUAACUGGACUGCAACUGACGCUGAGGCGCGAAAGUGUGGGGAGCAAACAGGAUUAGAUACCCUGGUAGUCCACACCGUAAACGAUGAUUACUAGGUGUAGGGGGAUAGACCCCCUCUGUGCCGCAGCUAACGCAAUAAGUAAUCCACCUGGGGAGUACGGUCGCAAGACUGAAACUCAAAUGAAUUGACGGGG